GCAAGUCGAGCGAUAUAGCGGCGAACGGGUGAGUAACACGUUGGAACCUGCCCCGGACUCAGGGAUAGCCCGCCGAAAGGUGGAUUAAUACCGGAUAGUCCCGCAAGGGUAAAGCUUUUGCGGUCCGGGAGGGGCCUGCGUAGUAUCAGCUUGUUGGUAGUGUAACGGACUACCAAGGCUACGACGCUUAACUGGUCUGAGAGGAUGAUC
rnacentral:rRNA from 1 species